GGGAGCGCCGGGCCCGUGAGGGGGAAGGCGGAGGGAGCGGGAGAGAGAUGCUGCAGCCAGAGCUGGGACCUUCCCAUUCCUCAGACACCUCUGGUGGCUCUUCAAGAUCGUGCUGAGCUUCAAGGACCUGCCCGGACCUGACCCCAGAGCACCAAAAUGCACAGCUGGACCCCAAAAUGCACAGCUGGACCCCAAAACUGCACAGCUGGACCCCAAAAUGCACAGCUGGACCCCAAAAAUGAACAGCUGGACCCCAAAAUCCUAUAAAACACCCCAUAAAGCCUGAACCCCAAAACCUGGAGAUACCCGAAGUGCACCUGAACCCGAGGGGGUUUGGGACCCCCGUGUUUGGGGUUUUGGGGUGUCCCUGGGUGGUGACCCCCACUUUUGGGGUUCUCCCAGGGCUGUCACCCGCUUUUUUAGGGGGUUUGGGGUUCCCAGAGCUGUGACCCCCCAUUUUUGGGGUCUUGGGGUGUCCCUGGGUGGUGUUUGGGGUUUUCCCAGGGCUGUCACCCCCUGGUUUGGGGGUUUUGGGGUUCCCAGGGUGGUGACUCCGUUUUUGGGGUUUUUGGGUGUCCCAGGGCAGUGACUCCCCUCUUUUAACCCCCCCCCCCCAGAUGGA